GACGUAGGGGGCGAGCGUUGUCCGGAUUUAUUGGGCGUAAAGCGCGCGUAGGCGGCCGCUCAAGUCGGAUGUGAAAAUCCGGGGCUCAACCCCGGACCUGCAUUCGAUACUGCGGUGCUUGAGGACUGGAGAGGAGACUGGAAUUCAUGGUGUAGCAGUGAAAUGCGUAGAGAUCAUGAGGAAGACCAGUGGCGAAGGCGGGUCUCUGGACAGUUCCUGACACUGAGACACGAAGGCCAGGGGAGCAAACGGG
rnacentral:rRNA from 1 species